rnacentral:rRNA from 1 species
UACGGAGGGUGCGAGCGUUGUCCGGAAUCAUUGGGCGUAAAGGGCGCGUAGGUGGCCCGGUCAGUUCGUGGUGAAAGCGCGGGGCUCAACCCUGCGUCGGCCAUGAAUACUGCCGCGGCUGGAGCACUGUAGAGGCAGGCGGAAUUCCGGGUGUAGCGGUGAAAUGCGUAGAGAUCCGGAAGAACACCGGUGGCGAAGGCGGCCUGCUGGGCAGUUGCUGACACUGAGGCGCGACAGCGUGGGGAGCAAACAGG